AUUGCCAACAUGCCCUAGCCGCGUCUUUUUGAAACUGACGCUUGCUCUCUCUAUUGGUCUUCCUGGUGCUCGACUGCGUGGGGGGCAGUAUGCCUCUUCUCCGAUGGAGUGUGGUGGUGCUACGUCACUUCCUGGAGCCUUCGGUGGACCUUUUUGCACCCCCUUUAUUGCCUUCUCGCUCAUUCAGAGAAGUUAUGGCAGAGACCUUCCCUUGUUGAUAUUUGUAAAUUUUUCUUGGCCGUGAAGAUAGUUGGUAGCUUCUCUGUUGGCUGAUGAUCCUAAAAGCCCUCAUCCUGUAGCUUAAAUUAUUCAAUAGUCAAAUAAUGUGGCUGGUACUGCUUUGGUUGUGGAAAAUUUUGGGAAGACUGAAAAGCAAAGUGCCCUUAUGCCCUCAACUUGUGGAUCAGAUCCAUGUUGAGAUUUUAGGGGAUCAUCAACAGCUUCAUUUAAGGCGAACUCUGUGGGAUAUCUCUGUUAAUCUUAAUGGUCCCUAGUGCAUUGUGGGUGAUUUCAACUGCAUUUCAUCCCCUUCUGAAAGACGUGCUCGUAAUGUUCCUUCCAUUCGUUCGAUAGAGGACUUUAAUGAUGUUAUCCUUGAUUGUAAUCUUGCUGACAUUGGUUUUACUGGUUUUUCCUGUACUUGGUCAAAUAAAAGGUUAUGGGAAAGGCUUGACCGAUUCCUUUUUAACAGCCAUUGGGUUAAUAAUAUUUUGGCCACUCACA